rnacentral:rRNA from 1 species
GAUGAUCGCUAGCUACAGGCUUAACACAUGCAAGUCGCGGGGCAGCAUGGGGGUUGCUUGCAAUCCCCGAUGGCGACCGGCGCACGGGUGAGUAACGCGUAUCCAACCUGCCCUUCACCACGGGAUAACCCGGCGAAAGUCGGACUAAUACCGUAUGUUGUCCAUUGACGGCAUCCGAUUUGGACGAAAGGUUUGGCGGUGAAGGAUGGGGAUGCGUCCGAUUAGCUGGACGGCGGGGUGACGGCCCACCGUGGCGACGAUCGGUAGGGGUUCUGAGAGGAAGGUCCCCCACACUGGAACUGAGACACGGUCCAGACUCCUACGGGAGGCAGCAGUGAGGAAUAUUGGUCAAUGGGCGUAAGCCUGAACCAGCCAAGUAGCGUGCAGGAUGACGGCCCUAUGGGUUGUAAACUGCUUUUAUGCGGGGAUAAAGUGGCCCACGUGUGGGUUUUUGCAGGUACCGCAUGAAUAAGGACCGGCUAAUUCCGUG